rnacentral:ncRNA from 1 species
AUCAAGGGGUGCUGACCUGGUUGGUCUGGCUGAGAUGAUACCCUUAUGAACCUGAUUCGGGUAAUUCCGACGUAGGGAUGGAUAAGU